ACUUUCCAGGUGACAUUUCUCUUCUUGGCCCAGAAUACAGAGUAUGGUGCUACUAACCAGAGCCCCUGGACUGAGGAAAGCAUUCUCCUGCACAGAGCCCAAGGAGACCAAGAGGGGCAACAGAGGAGGAACUGUACUUUGUGUCUUUGAAAGCGGGUCCUAUGCAGCGGUCCGACCGGCCACGGGAACUGGCUGAAGACCACUCACGUGCUCACGCUGUAUUCUGUGCUCGGAUCCACCUGUCAUGAUGGACACCUUACAGCAACAGAUAUGAAAUUGACCAGCAAGGGGCACAAUCGACAAUAAAGAGCCUAAAGAGAGAGUUCCUGGACCUGAGCUGGAAGCGGUGGUGCCCAGAAAGCACACGUGCCAAUUGGACAAUUAGACAAAGAGUAGAACUCCCAUCCAACUGGAGUAAUUCAUCAAGGAUUUUUGAUGGCAGCUCUGAGAGUUUCCGAAGUUACUGUAGAAAUCCUGUCGCUCCUUUUAAUAUGCCUGACUUCAUGGAAGGGGAGAAGAAGUGCCAGAGAGCAAACAGGAGGCAAGAGGAGGUGGUGAACCAACAGCGGAAAACAAGGGGAGGAAAGUACUUCACAUCUCUUCUGGAGAGAUCAUUUUAUUUUCAGUUCUCCCAGAAAUUAUAUCGGAACAAUUUUUUUUCCUGAAAUAAUAUAUACAGCUAUUGAUAGCCUAGUAUUCCCUGUUAGCUUCCACUCUUACCAGCAUAGGGAAGGCAAUCCCCUCAAUACUGACUGAGAGCCCCUGUGUUAGGUGCUGAGGUACAAAAUGAAACCAAGGAGUCCUGAGCACCCGGUGGCAGAACCGUGUAAAAUAUGGUUUCUCUGAACAUGACCCCUCUGGUCAGAGGUGGGUCGGCCAGGGCUUUGUCUGUUCAAAGCCAAGCCCAGCCACAUGGGAUAGAGGUCGGAUGUGCUGGGGCGGACCAGGGGCCAAGAUAGCCAGGGAUCUGGCUUUGAAUCACUCUGGUAUUCGAGCUUUUUUCCCUGAAGAAAAAUGAGAAAGUACUGGUCAUGUGGCUGUUGAGUAUUUUUCAAUAAGCAAGCCUUAUUUUUAUCAUGUUAUGAAAUGCUUGUCCCCGAGAGCUCUCUUUAGGUGCAUGGUAAGUGCUGCGACACCAAUCGGAUGCCCCCAUGCCAAGAGGCUGGCAUCUUGAUUUUUGUGGGCCCUAAGCACUUUUACCUCUGUCGACCUCUUCCCCUCAAAAUUAAAAAAAAAAACAGAUUAAAAGUUAUAUUUUCAAAUUUUAUUUUUUAAAUUAUAUCUUAUAACUGCAUUUGUGUAAAGAUGCAUAUUAUAUAUAAAUUUUACAUUAAUAUUAUAUAUAAAACAUUUUUCAUCCUAAAAGUGGAUAUUUUUGCCUCCUGAAUUGAAAAGAACUUGCAACAUUUCUGUGGGCCCCUAACGUCUCGUGGUCCUAGCGAUGACCUGCUAUGCCUCACGUGGAAGUUGGUCCCAGAUGCCACCCUAAGCCUCCCUGCCACAUUAACGCCUCCACUGGAGAUGGCAGUAGACGUAGAUGGCAUCGUUCUGAACUCACUGUGGCCUCGUGCCCCAACCAGCUGGCAGGUAGAGACGCCACAUUAGUUCUUCUUCCUACGCAUGUAUUCAGGUCAGUGUUGUUUCAUGUUUCUUGUAGCAGCUCAAGGCAUUUCACGUGUCUUUUCACUCUGCUCCCUGCUGUAUGUCCCGCAACGGCAUUCACAGAGACGGAUAGGAUGAGCUGUACAACAGAAUCAUUCAAGCGGUAGAACAAUUCUGAAACACAAGUGGGGAGGAAUUGCUUGCACUUCUCUCAUGGAUUAGCUGAAAAUCCAAUGCAAGUCGUCAGUGGUUAUUCAAUUCAUAACAAACACUACUGAUGGAAAGAACCAACGGAGAAUAAAAUCGACAAAGGCUAAAGCUGCACAUCGUGAGACUUACUAUUGCCAAGCGCGGACAGGAAAACUAAAAUCCUGGCAAAUUUUGGAUCUGCGAAAUUGGACACAGGAAAAUUGGAUUUCAUAAAAAUAAAAGAUACAGAACACAUUGCACAUUGUCAAAACUCUAUGAAAGAUGAUAAAUCAAAAGCAACCAAUGAACAAACCCUUGAGAAGGUGAAAAGGCAAAUGGAAAAUAAUUAAUCCUGAUUCAAGUAACUUUUCUAACGCGAAUGCACGAUAUAAAAGUAUCACUGCAUUGUAAAGAAAAAUUUUCAUAAAUUAAAGCGUGGGUAAUAGAA